rnacentral:rRNA from 1 species
CAGGGCUUGACAUGCAGGAAGUAGGAAGCCGAAAGGUAGACAACCUGUCAAGUCAGGAGCCUGCACAGGUGCUGCAUGGCUGUCGUCAGCUCGUACCGUGAGGCGUUGGGUUAAGUCCCGCAACGAGCGCAACCAUCGUCCUUAGUUGCCACUUUUUGCCUCCGAAAGGCGGCAAAGAAGCACUCUAGGGAGACUGCCCGCGAUAAGCGGGAGGAAGGGGGAGAUGACGUCAAGUCAGUAUGGCCUUUAUGCCCUGGGCUACACACGUGUUACAAUGCCCACUACAAAGCGUUGCCAAACCGCGAGGUGGAGCUAAUCGCAAAAAAGUGGGCUCAGUUCAGAUUGGAGUCUGCAACCCGACUCCAUGAAGACGGAAUCGCUAGUAAUGGCGGAUCAGCUACGCCGCCGUGAAUACGUUCC